ensembl:misc_RNA 7SK 7SK RNA
GACAGCAAGCUGGCUGUGACAUGUCAACCCCACUGAUUGCCAGAAUUGAUUUGCUGGAUCUGCCCUGUUAAGAUGGUGUCCCAUUUCUUCCUGGCUCUGCCACAUGUGUUUUUCCAAAAUCUGGACACUUUACUGGAGAGGAUGAUUUUUCUAGAUAGAGAAAGACCACGGUCUACAGAGAAUCAAGUUCUUCUGCUGGAAUACUCAAGGCUUGUUGAGUAGGUUCGCCUGC